CUCCUGCCUCAGCCUCCGGAGUAGCUGGGACUACAGGCGCCCGCCACCACGCCUGGCCAAUUUUUUUGUAUUUUUUUAGUAGAGACGGGGUUUCACCGUGUUAGCCAGGAUAGUCUUGAUCUUCUGACCUCGUGAGCCGCCUGUCUCAGCCUCCCAAAGGGCUGGGAUUACAGGCGUGAGCCACCGCGCCCGGCCGAUUUACCACUCUUGAUGUUCACCACCUGGCUGAGUCUGGAAUCAUUUCUUCAUAAUGACAUUUUCUCCUUUUAUUGGAGAAUGUUAGAAACCAAGAUCAAGAGCUUGAUGUGCUUGUUGAUACUGGAGUGUCAUUGAUUCUUGGCCCUGUCAACUGACCAGAUCAAGGAACUACAUGUGUAUAAGCUAAGGCCUGCCUCUCCCACACAAUUUUUUGAUGACCUUCACUUGGAAUGGCCAGAACCAGCUAAUGCAAACCCUGCUGAACCUACAGUAGAAGUUGCUCCUCUCCUCCCCGGCCUCAGUCUCCACCCACUCACAAAAGAAGGCUUUCCAGUCUCCAUUCUAGGACUUAGCCUUAUAACACAUAUUACAAGUAAAGUUCCCACUUGCCUCCAGCAGAAAAGUCACAUCAUGUAUCACAUCUUCUUGUAAAGACUCCGCGGGAGACUGAGAAGCUGGGAGAGCAAAAUAUGCAGCAAGUGCCAUUAGGAUAAAGAGGCUUGCCUGGUGAUAUUUCAACAAAGACAAACACAGCUUCAAAAGAGCUUUCACAGAGCCGCAACUCCACCAAUGCUUCUACUUGUUCAUCCUAAGCAGACUUUUCUCCUGCUCAUGGAAAAGUCCCCUGAAAUUUUUACAUUCCCACCUCACAAAAAUAUCAUGAUGAGAUGGUUGGAC
rnacentral:lncRNA from 10 species